rnacentral:rRNA from 1 species
UACGUAGGGUCCGAGCGUUGUCCGGAAUUAUUGGGCGUAAAGAGCUCGUAGGCGGUUUGUCGCGUCUGCUGUGAAAUCCCGAGGCUCAACCUCGGGCCUGCAGUGGGUACGGGCAGACUGGAGUGCGGUAGGGGAGAAUGGAAUUCCUGGUGUAGCGGUGGAAUGCGCAGAUAUCAGGAGGAACACCGAUGGCGAAGGCAGUUCUCUGGGCCGUAACUGACGCUGAGGCGCGAAAGCGUGGGGAGCAAACAGG